AGCUCAGCAAAUACAUCAAGGAGCGCAGAAAAUUAAUCAAGGCGCUCAAAGAAUGCAUUUCUGAAAAAGAACAUUUCUGGCAGUCAAUCAAACUAUCACGUAAACAUCUAAAUUCACUUGAAGAUUCACGUGAAGAGUUAUCUGAAGUGUCAUUUAAAGAGUCACAUCCACGGUCAUAUCAACAGUUUCUUCAAUCAAUUCAACAGUCACUUGAGACACUCGAGAUAAAUCAAGAUUCACUUGAGCUGAUAGAGCAACCUUUACUUCAACGUACACUUCAGCUGUUACUUCAACAGUCAGAUCAACUGUCACUUCUACAGUCACUUCAACACUCACUUCAGUCACUUCAGUCCUCACGUCGACAGUCAGUUCAGCUGUCACUUCUACAGUCACUUCAACACACACUUCAGUUACUUCAACAGUCUCUUCAGUCCUCACGUCGACAAUCACUGUCACUUCAACAGUUACUUCAGCUGUUACGUCUACAGUAUUUUCUACACCUACUUCAAAUGUCACUUAAACAGUCACAUCAACAGUCACUUCUAGAGCGACGUCUACAGUCACAUCAACAGUCACUUCUAGAGCAACGUCUACAGUCACUUCAACAGUCACUUCUAGAGCAACGUCUACAGUCACUUCAACAGUCACUUCUAGAGCAACGUCUACAGUCACUUCAACAGUCACUCCCACCUCAACAAUUACUGUUUGUAAGUGAUAACGGAGAUGACAUGGAUGAAGACAGAAAUAAAAACACAUUGAUUUUAUUUGAUCCUCGACCUACCGGGAUGGAAAUAAUUUUCUCUAUCAUGCAUGACAUAGACACAAAUACACCAGUGGGACAGGAAGUAGAAGAGGAUGGACCGGAAGAAGAAGAGGAUGGACAGGAAGAAGAAGAGGAUG